GUGCCAGCCGCCGCGGUAAUACGAAGGGUGCAAACGUUGCUCGGAAUCAUUGGGCGUAAAGCGCACGUAGGCGGCCUCGCAAGUUGGAUGUGAAAUCCCAUGGCUCAACCAUGGACGUGCAUCCAAAACUGCUUGGCUUGAGUACUGAAGAGGAUCGCGGAAUUCCCGGUGUAGAGGUGAAAUUCGUAGAUAUCGGGAGGAACACCAGUGGCGAAGGCGGCGAUCUGGGCAGAUACUGACGCUGAGGUGCGAAAGCGUGGGGAGCAAACAGGAUUAGAAACCCUCGUAGUCC
rnacentral:rRNA from 1 species